UACGAAGGGGGCUAGCGUUGUUCGGAAUCACUGGGCGUAAAGGGCGCGUAGGCGGCCGAUCAAGUCGGGGGUGAAAGCCUGUGGCUCAACCACAGAAUUGCCUUCGAUACUGUUUGGCUUGAGACCGGAAGAGGUAAGUGGAACUGCGAGUGUAGAGGUGAAAUUCGUAGAUAUUCGCAAGAACACCAGUGGCGAAGGCGGCUUACUGGUCCGGUUCUGACGCUGGAGG
rnacentral:rRNA from 1 species